GUGCUCACUUCGGCAGCACAUAUAGUAAAAU
rnacentral:snRNA from 1 species